rnacentral:tRNA from 1 species
GCCGAAGUGGCGGAACUGGUAGACGCGACGGUCUCAAAAACCGUUGCCCCGCAAGGGGCGUGCCGGUUCGAACCCGGCCUUCGGCA